UUUCUCUGUAAAGUAACUGAUUCUUCGGGACGACCUUUUGUUGCUGAUGUUCGAUGUCAGAAUGAACGAGUGACAAUUGGCAGAUGUACACUGGGCUGCAAACUGCAAAAAAGGGUUAAAUAUUGGCUGGAUCUUACACAGGAUAUGUUUGUAAAGGAUGGACUUCAGACAUGGAACUGUAAACAAACGGAUUACAAGGGUCGUCGUCUUGUUGCAAUUGUUGAAUGUCAGAGAGGAAGUGUGGACGUAGGCGGUUGUUACCAGCUAAACUAAUAUUUGGCCUGGUGAAUCAAUGCAACAAACCCAAAGCUGCAGCAAAUCCCCUGGAAGAGAGGAUUUCCCACGUUGGCCAACAAUCAAGAUCAUGAUGUGUUUGAUAAAGUUGCUUUUACAUUUGGUUCAUGAUAUGGAAUCUGUCUCAUAACACAGGGGGUUAGUAGGGGAGCAGAGAGGAAAGGAGGCCCACCAUCUUAGGAUAGGAGGCUGUCUGACAAGAUUCAGACAGUCAUUCUGAAUGAUUCAAAAGAAAUGAAAAAUACAUGUUGAACAUAAUAAUGGGAAGGUUGAUGAAACAGUUGAUCAGCAAAACAUUUCAUAUUGAUCCUCUAUUCAUUUAAAGCAGCAAACUACUGGUAGUCAAUGGGAGUCAAAUCAAUAGAAUGUACAGUAUACAAUGGACAUGGAUGCAUGUAGAAAAUGUCAUGGCUUGGAUCUAUAAAAGAGAUAUAAUUAGA